GCUGGGUGUGGUGGCCCAUGCCUGUAGUCCCAGCUACUCGGGAGGCUGAGGUGGGAGGAUGGAUUGAGCCUAGGAGGUCGAGACUGCGGUGAGCCAACAUCGUGCCACUGCACUCCAGCCUGGGCAACAGAGCUAGACCCUGUUUCAA
rfam:Homo sapiens chromosome 22, GRCh38 reference primary assembly.